GACAGAGGGUGCAAACGUUGCUCGGAAUUACUGGGCGUAAAGCGCGUGUAGGCGGGCCUUCAAGUCGGACGUGAAAUCCCUGAGCUCAACUCAGGAACUGCAUCCGAAACUGAAGGCCUGGAGUAGUGGAGAGGGAAGCAGAAUUCCUGGUGUAGAGGUGAAAUUCGUAGAUAUCAGGAGGAACACCGGUGGCGAAGGCGGCUUCCUGGACACUUACUGACGCUGAGGUGCGAAAGCGUGGGGAGCAAACAGG
rnacentral:rRNA from 1 species